rnacentral:rRNA from 1 species
UGGGGGAUAUUGCACAAUGGGCGAAAGCCUGAUGCAGCGACGCCGCGUGGGGGAUGAAGGCCUUCGGGUUGUAAACUUCUUUUGCUCUGAACAAGGCAUGCCUUUGGGGUGUGUUGAGUGUAGGGGUUGAUUAGCGCCGGCUAACUACGUGCCAGCAGCCGCGGUAAUACGUAGGGCGCGAGCGUUGUCCGGAAUUAUUGGGCGUAAAGGGCUUGUAGGUGGCUGGUUGCGUCUGUCGUGAAAGCUCAUGGCUUAACUGUGGGUUUGCGGUGGGUACGGGCUGGCUUGAGUGCAGUAGGGGAGGCUGGAAUUCCUGGUGUAGCGGUGGCAUGCGCAGAUAUCAGGAGGAAUACCGGUGGCGAAGGCGGGUCUCUGGGCUGUUACUGACGCUGAGGAGCGAAAGCGUGGGGAGCGAACAGG